AUGACCUUUCCAAGCUCUUGUGGGCUGGUGCUGUUGGAGUGGAGCUUCUACAGCUUGGGAAGCUCGGAAAAAGAAAGGGAAAAACCAAACAAAAAGACCAAAGCGGCAUUCACCCUCCUCGAGUGCGUGCGUCUGUCUGUGGGCAUCACAGCCCUCUUGGAGCAAGGUGGGCAGCAGCAGCUCCAGAGCAAACACCCUCCAGGGGUGGCAGCGUGGAGUCGUGUGAUUGUGCUCUGCGCUUCUAAGGAGCAAUACUGCGCUUUGCAAUCAAUGGAGCUUAAAAAUACAAUGGCCAGCCUUAUCAACGACACUGAAAAUCAAAAGGAUAUUUUCUGCCCCCCCAGCCACUUGCCCACAUGCCCCGGGAGCACCUCGGCUGCCUGAGCCUGCUGCUGCCUGCGCUAGUAAGUACCAAGCAUUCACACAUGCCUUCCCAUGGCCAAACGCACCGCUUUAAGGCAAAAUACACUUAAAUUUAUGGUCCAGAUCUCCACAAUAUCUUGCCAUUAAUGGGAAUGAAACUAUAUUUAGAAAUCCUAGUUACUAGGCCACUUGAAGGCAUGACAUAAAAUACAUUACAGUAAAUGAAUUCUCUUCAGUCUCAUUUUUAGGAUUUUACUAAUGAAAUUCUGAUUUUUAGGUUGCUAAAGCUGGGCACCUCAAAUCCAUUAAAAUCACGUGCAGGAGAGACAUUUGAGGCACAAAUAUUGUUACAUUAAUGGGCUACAUUAAUUUUGAUGGAGCUGUGCUAUUUCACCCAGAUAAGAACCAGCACAUUUAUUAUAAUUAUUUUU
rnacentral:lncRNA from 1 species